rnacentral:rRNA from 1 species
GAUGAACGCUGGCGGCGUGCCUAAUACAUGCAAGUCGAGCGAACAGACGAGGAGCUUGCUCCUCUGACGUUAGCGGCGGACGGGUGAGUAACACGUGGAUAACCUACCUAUAAGACUGGGAUAACUUCGGGAAACCGGAGCUAAUACCGGAUAAUAUAUUGAACCGCAUGGUUCAAUAGUGAAAGACGGUUUUGCUGUCACUUCUAGAUGGAUCCGCGCCGCAUUAGCUAGUUGGUAAGGUAACGGCUUACCAAGGCAACGAUGCGUAGCCGACCUGAGAGGGGGAUCGGCCACACUGGAACUGAGACACGGUCCAGACUCCUACGGGAGGCAGCAGUAGGGAAUCUUCCGCAGUGGGCGAAAGCCUGACGGAGCAACGCCGCGUGAGUGAUGAAGGUCUUCGGAGCGUAAAACUCUGUUAUUAGGGAAGAACAAAUGUGUAAGUAACUAUGCACGUCUUGACGGUACCUAAUCAGAAAGCCACGGCUAACUACGUG